GCUGGGUGUGGUAGUGCAUGCCUGUAAUCCCAGUUACUCAGAAGGCCGAGGCAGGAGGAUUGCAAGUUCAAGGACAGCCUCAGCAACUUAGUGAGGCCCUAAGCAGCUUAGUAAGGCCCUGUCUCAA
rnacentral:sRNA from 1 species